AAAGCGUGCGCAGGCGGUUUUGUAAGUCUGACGUGAAAUCCCCGGGCUCAACCUGGGAAUUGCGUUGGAGACUGCAAGGCUAGAAUCUGGCAGAGGGGGGUAGAAUUCCACGUGUAGCAGUGAAAUGCGUAGAGAUGUGGAGGAACACCGAUGGCGAAGGCAGCCCCCUGGGUCAAGAUUGACGCUCAUGCACGAAAGCGUGGGGAGCAAACAGGAUUAGAUACCCCAGU
rnacentral:rRNA from 1 species